UGGGGAAUUUUGGACAAUGGGCGCAAGCCCGAUCCAGCCAUGCCGCGUGCAGGAUGAAGGCCUUCGGGUUGUAAACUGCUUUUGUACGGAACGAAAAGGUGCCUUCUAAUAAAGGGCGCUCAUGACGGUACCGUAAGAAUAAGCACCGGCUAACUACGUGCCAGCAGCCGCGGUAAUACGUAGGGUGCGAGCGUUAAUCGGAAUUACUGGGCGUAAAGCGUGCGCAGGCGGUUUUGUAAGACAGAGGUGAAAUCCCCGGGCUCAACCUGGGAACUGCCUUUGUGACUGCAAGGCUGGAGUGUGGCAGAGGGGGAUGGAAUUCCGCGUGUAGCAGUGAAAUGCGUAGAUAUGCGGAGGAACACCGAUGGCGAAGGCAAUCCCCUGGGCCUGCACUGACGCUCAUGCACGAAAGCGUGGGGAGCAAACA
rnacentral:rRNA from 1 species